rnacentral:rRNA from 1 species
AGCGAACGCUGGCGGCAGGCCUAACACAUGCAAGUCGAGCGCCCCGCAAGGGGAGCGGCAGACGGGAGAGUAACACGUGGGAACGUACCCUUCAGUUCGGAACAACCCAGGGAAACUUGGGCUAAUACCGAAUACGUCCGUAAGGAGAAAGAUUUAUCGCUGAAGGAUCGGCCCGCGUCUGAUUAGCUAGUUGGUGAGGUAAUGGCUCACCAAGGCGACGAUCAGUAGCUGGUCUGAGAGGAUGAUCAGCCUCACUGGGACUGAGACACGGCCCAGACUCCUACGGGAGGCAGCAGUGGGGAAUAUUGGACAAUGGGCGCAAGCCUGAUCCAGCCAUGCCGCGUGGAUGAUGAAGGCCCUCGGGUUGUAAAGCUCUGUCGGAGGGGAAGAAUAAAUGACGGUACCCUCCAAGAAAGCCCCGGCUAACUACGU